rnacentral:rRNA from 1 species
GCUAGCUACAGGCUUAACACAUGCAAGUCGAGGGUCAGCAUGGUCUUAGCUUGCUAAGGCCGAUGGCGACCGGCGCACGGGUGAGUAACACGUAUCCAACCUGCCGUCUACUCUUGGACAGCCUUCUGAAAGGAAGAUUAAUACAAGAUGGCAUCAUGAGUCCACAUGUUCACAUGAUUAAAGGUAUUCCGGUAGACGAUGGGGAUGCGUUCCAUUAGAUAGUAGGCGGGGUAACGGCCCACCUAGUCUUCGAUGGAUAGGGGUUCUGAGAGGAAGGUCCCCCACAUUGGAACUGAGACACGGUCCAAACUCCUACGGGAGGCAGCAGUGAGGAAUAUUGGUCAAUGGGCGAGAGCCUGAACCAGCCAAGUAGCGUGAAGGAUGACUGCCCUAUGGGUUGUAAACUUCUUUUAUAAAGGAAUAAAGUCGGGUAUGCAUACCCGUUUGCAUGUACUUUAUGAAUAAGGAUCGGCUAACUCCGUGCCAGCAGCCGCGGUAAUACGGAGGAUCCGAGCGUUAUCCGGAUUUAUUGGGUUUAAAGGGAGCGUAGAUGGAUGUUUAAGUCAGUUGUGAAAGUUUGCGGCUCAACCGUAAAAUUGCAGUUGAUACUGGAUAUCUUGAGUGCAGUUGAGGCAGGCGGAAUUCGUGGUGUAGCGGUGAAAUGCUUAGAUAUCACGAAGAACUCCGAUUGCGAAGGCAGCCUGCUAAGCUGCAACUGACAUUGAGGCUCGAAAGUGUGGGUAUCAAACAGGAUUAGAUACCCUGGUAGUCCACACGGUAAACGAUGAAUACUCGCUGUUUGCGAUAUACGGCAAGCGGCCAAGCGAAAGCGUUAAGUAUUCCACCUGGGGAGUACGCCGGCAACGGUGAAACUCAAAGGAAUUGACGGGGGCCCGCACAAGCGGAGGAACAUGUGGUUUAAUUCGAUGAUACGCGAGGAACCUUACCCGGGCUUAAAUUGCAGAUGAAUUACGGUGAAAGCCGUAAGCCGCAAGGCAUCUGUGAAGGUGCUGCAUGGUUGUCGUCAGCUCGUGCCGUGAGGUGUCGGCUUAAGUGCCAUAACGAGCGCAACCCUUGUUGUCAGUUACUAACAGGUUCCGCUGAGGACUCUGACAAGACUGCCAUCGUAAGAUGUGAGGAAGGUGGGGAUGACGUCAAAUCAGCACGGCCCUUACGUCCGGGGCUACACACGUGUUACAAUGGGGGGUACAGAGGGCCGCUACCACGCGAGUGGAUGCCAAUCCCCAAAACCUCUCUCAGUUCGGACUGGAGUCUGCAACCCGACUCCACGAAGCUGGAUUCGCUAGUAAUCGCGCAUCAGCCACGGCGCGGUGAAUACGUUCCCGGGCCUUGUACACACCGCCCGUCAAGCCAUGGGAGCCGGGGGUACCUGAAAGGGGUAACC